rfam:Triticum aestivum genome assembly, contig: Triticum_aestivum_CS42_TGACv1_scaffold_592598_7BS
CAAGUACUCCCUCCGUCAGGAAUUACUUGUCAUCAAAAUGGAUGUGUCUAGAACUAAAAUACAUCUAGAUACAUCCAUUUCAAUGACAAGUAUUUCCGGACGGAGGGAGUACAAG